rnacentral:rRNA from 1 species
CCUGGCGGCGAUAGCGCGGUGGUCCCACCUGACCCCAUGCCGAACUCAGAAGUGAAACGCCGUAGCGCCGAUGGUAGUGUGGGGUUUCCCCAUGUGAGGUAGGGAACUGCCAGGC